CCAACUGGGCCAGUCGGCCUGGGC
rnacentral:miRNA from 1 species